rnacentral:lncRNA from 1 species
UUAUAUAAAUAAUGACAAAUUAAAAUAAUCAUCUCCAUUUUAAUUGGUUUUUCUAUCAUGGAGAAAUUAUGAUGGUUCCAAUUAAAAAAAACAAAUAGAGAAGAAUAAAAAAGAAGUGGUGAAGAAUAAAAAAAGAAAGCAAAUGGAGAAGAAUAAAAAUAUAAUCAAUUAAAAGUAAUAAUUAGUUUUCCAUUUUAAGGUGAUGAGUGUUAACUCCGUGAGGGGUGUCUAUAAUUUGCUCACUAUUCAUGACUCUCAUGGUGUUUAAGCUAUUUUAGAUUUAAUUUGACAAAAACAGGUUCCCUUUAAGGUCUCUAUUUUGGCUUGGAGCCUUAUUCGUAAUAGGUUACCAAUUAAGGACAAUUUGGUGAUGUGCAGCAUCAUUUCUCAUGACUCUCAAUUUUGUGUGACUGGCUGCGGUGGAUUGGAAAUAGCACAUCACUUGUUUCAUUCUUGCCCUGUUUUCGCCCCUUUUUGGUGCAUGGUUAGGUCGUGGAUUGGUAUAUCUUCAGCUGAUCUGGAUUUGUUACAGGAUCAUCUUGUUCAGUUUAUUCAUUCUUCUGGAGGAUUGUGAGUUCGUCGUUCAUUCUUGCAGCUUAUUUGGUUAUGUUGUGUUUGGGUUAUGUGGAAUGAGAGGAAAAAUAGAGUUUUUAAGGCUAAGGAAAACACAAUUCAUCAGAUGUUAGAUAAAGUCAAAUUACAUUCAUUUUGGUGGUUGAAAGCUUAUAAUGUCAAUCUUGGGUUAAACUCUCAUAUGUGUUGGUCGAGCUCUUUUGUUUGUAUGGGCAUCGACUAAGUUUUCUUGUUUCUUUUGUUUUUGGUUUCGUGUUGAUUGUAAAAUUUUGAGGUUCUUUCUGGCACACCUUGUGUUAGGAAUGACUAUCAGUUGGUUUUAAAAUGAUCCAUUUUUUCCUGUUAAAAAAAAAAAAUUAAAGCCAACCGUAUCAUUUAAUAUUAAUUAAUCUAAGUUGUUAAUUGAUAAAAGAACAAAAUGCCAAUAUUUAGAGUAAGUAAAUAAACUUACCUUCAAUUCAAAAUAUCCGCCUUCAAUAUAUAUAUAUAUGUUCUGGAAUGCUAGAUAAGAAGUAUAAAAGUUAUUAAAUAUUCAUAAAUAGGUUUUAACAAUAAUUACAAACAACAUUUUUAUGUAAGAUCU